GUUGGCUUAGAAGCAGCCAUCAUUUAAAGAAAGCGUAAUAGCUCACUGGUCGAGUCGGCCUGCGCGGAAGAUGUAACGGGGCUAAACCAUGCACCGAAGCUGCGGCAGCGACACUCAGGUGUUGUUGGGUAGGGGAGCGUUCUGUAAGCCUGUGAAGGUGGCCUGUGAGGGUUGCUGGAGGUAUCAGAAGUGCGAAUGCUGACAUAAGUAACGAUAAAGCGGGUGAAAAGCCCGCUCGCCGGAAGACCAAGGGUUCCUGUCCAA
rnacentral:rRNA from 1 species